rnacentral:tRNA from 1 species
GGGGAUGUACCUCAGUAGCAGAGCAUGUGCUUAGUGGGCACAAGACCCUGGGUUCAAUCCCCAGCACCA